rnacentral:lncRNA from 1 species
GAUGUUUAUAGUGGUAUCACUAUGACUAAGAGACACUUAUGUAAUAAGGCGGUUCUUCUAGUUCUUGACGAUGUGGAUCAAGUAGAGCAACUGGAAACCUUGGUGGGAGAAAGAGACUGGUUUGGUUUGAGGAGUAGAAUCAUCAUUACAACUAGAAAUCGACAUAUACUAGUCACACAUGGUAUAGAUGAACCAUAUGAGGUGAAGAUACUAACUAAAGAUGACGCUCUUAAGCUCUUUUGUUGGAAAGCCUUUAGGAAAUAUGAACCUGAAGAUGAGUAUGCUGAAGACUCUAAGAGAUUCAUUAUCUAUGCUGGAGGUCUUCCCUUAGCUCUUAAAACUUUGGGGUCUUUUUUGUAUAAAAGAAGUGCAGAUGCAUGGAGUUCUACACUGGAAAAGCUACAAGGAACUCCCAACAGAACAAUCUUUGACGUCCUGAAAAUAAGUUAUGAUGGACUCGAUAAGAUGGAGAAGAAAAUUUUUCUGGACAUUGCAUGCUUUUGUAGAUGGUAUCAAAACGAGUAUGCAGUUGACCUACUAUACAGUUCCGAUUUUUGCAGUCAUAUUGCAAUAGAUGUUCUUGUUGAGAGAUCUCUCAUAACUAUUUCUUCAAGAAAGCAAGUAUUUAUACAUGACUUGAUACAAGAAAUGGGAUGUGAAAUUGUUCGUCAAGAGUGUCAAGAAGAACCUGGUAGACGCAGUCGGUUGUGGCUCCCUAACGACAUUUUUCAUGUAUUCACAAGGAAUUCGGUAAGAAUUCUAACAAACUGAAAGGCUUGGAUAUCACUAUAAUUUUCUUACAUGAUACAUUCAUGAUAAUUUAAUUGACUCAUCUCUUACUUUCAUGUAUUAGGGAACAGAAGCCAUUGAAGGCAUCUUCUUACAUUUGCCUGAAAUAGAAGAGGCAGAUUGGAAUCUUGAGGGCUUCUCUAUCAUGUAUAAACUGAAGCGGCUACACAUUCAUAAUUUGAGGCUUUCUGCUGGCCCCAAAUAUCUUCCUAAUGCGUUGAGAUUUCUGAAUUGGGGUUGGUAUCCUUCAAAAUCUCUCCCACCAGGUUUUCAACCGGAUGAUCUUAUUGAACUUAGUUUGCCCCACAGCAAUAUUCGUCACCUCUGGAAUGGAAUGAAAGUAAGUUAUCGAAUAUCUGUUAUUUGCACAAGUAUUAUUAAAUUUUAGAGUUCUAGCAUGAAUCUGAUUGUUCUACCAUUCUUCAUAUUUCCUACAGUGCUUGGUCAAGUUGAAAUCUAUCGACCUUAGUUACUCCAUAAACUUGACAAUGACCCCAGAUUUCACAGGCAUUCCAAACCUCGAGAGGUUGGUUUUUGAAGGUUGUACGAAUUUAAUUAAGGUUCAUCCAUCCAUUGCAUUGCUGAAGAGACUCAAAAUUUGGAACUUUAGAUACUGCCGAAGUAUGAAAAGUCUACCAAGUGAAGUGAAAAUGGAAUAUCUUGAGACUUUUGAUGUAUCUGGCUGCUCAACACUAAAAAUGUUUCCAGAAUUUAUGGGGCAAAUGAAAAGAUUAUCCAAGCUUUCUAUAAGUGGUACUGCUGUUAAGAACCUGCCUUCAUCAGUUGAGCGCUUCAGUGAGAGUUUGGCGGAGCUUGAUUUGUGUGGAAUUGUUGCAAGAGAGCGGCCAUACUCUCAUUUUUUAAAGCAGAAUGUUAGAGUUUCAUCUUCUGGCUUAUUUCCAAGAAAGAGUCCUCACCCUUUGCUUCCUCUGUUAGCUUCCUUGAAGCAUUUGUCUUGUUUGACGUCGUUAAAACUGAAUGACUGUAAUCUCCAUGAAGGAGAAAUUCCGAAUGAUAUUGGUUCUCUGUCCACCUUAAAGUCGUUGGAACUUGGAGGAAAUAAUUUUGUCACCCUUCCUGCAAGCCUUCGUUUGCUUUCUAAUCUGGGAUUCAUUAGCGUGGAAAAUUGCAAAAGGCUUGAGCAAUUGCCAGACCUCCCAUUCAAUGAGAGGUUAUGGGUAAAUUCCAGCAAUUGUACUUCCUUAAAAGUGUUUCCAGAUCCAUCAGCAUUCAGUUCGGUUGGUAAUCUGGAUUCAAGUUAUUUUUUAUAUUCAAUGCUGAAGCGGUUACUUGAGGUAAAAUCUGGAUUCAAUUUAUUCUUUAUAGUCGGUGCUAAAGUUUUUAUGUUCAGUACGGUCGAUAUGAUUAUGUUUGGUAUUCAUAUCAAUAAUUAUGAUGGUUCAUAUGGUGCAGGAAUCCCCUUCUUUUGAUUUGUUCAGUUGUCUACUUCCUGGAAGUGAAAUGUUUGAGUGGUUCAGUAAUCAGAGUUUGGGAAACACGCUAACUGAGAAGAUACCUCCGUAUUCAAGUAAUAGCAAGUGGAUUGGGUUUGCUGUAUGUGCGCUAUUUGCAGCUCAUGACAAUCCAUCUGCCGUUCCUGAAGCCCGUGAUUUAGAUCCUGGUCCCUUCAUUACGUGUAAAUUUACUACUGACCGCUACUUUGGGCACGAACAUAUAAAAAAAAUUGAUUCAGAUCACCUUUUUUUAGGUGUUAUCUCCGCUCGUUACUGGAAGCCUGAGAACCGUCCAGAUGACAACUUGGUUAAGUUUGUUAUUGAGACCACUGCUGUCGGAAACAACAGAUGCUUGAAGAUAAAGAAAUGUGGGGUCCGUGCACUGUAUGAGAACGACAUGGAAGAGUUGUUGGCUAAAUGAACCAAUCCAAGAACAUCACUGCUCCUUAAUUACGAGAAGAGGCGGAUUGGAAUCUUGAGGGCUUCUCUAUCAUGUGUAAACUGAAGAUGCUACACAUUCAUAAUUUGAGGCUUCCUGCUGGCCCCAAAUAUCUUCCUAAUGCGUUGAGAUUUCUGAAUUGGCGUUGGUAUCCUUCAAAAUCUCUCCCACCAGGUUUUCAACCGGAUGAUCUUAUUGAACUUAGUUUGCCCCAUAGCAAUAUUCAUCACUUCUGGGAUGGAACAACAGUAUGUUAUUGAAUAUCUUCUAUUGCAAAAAUUUAAUUUAAUUUUAAGAUUCAUGCAUGGAAGUUGAUUGUUCUACCGUUCUUUAUGUUUUCUACAGUAUUUAAACAAGUUGAAAUCUAUCGAUCUUAGUUGCUCCAAAAACUUGACAAAAACCCCAGAUUUCACUGGUAUUCAAAACCUUGAGAAGUUGGUUCUUGAAGGCUGUACGAAUUUAGUGAAGGUUCAUCCAUCUGUUGCAUUGCUCAAGAGACUCAAAAUUUGGAAUUAUAGAAACUGCAGAAGUAUUAAGAGUCUACCACGUGAAGUGAAAAUGGAAUUUCUUGAAACUUUUGAUGUAUCUGGCUGCUCAAAACUAAAAAUGAUCCCAGAAUUUCUGGGGUCAAAUGAAAAGAAUUGUCGAAGCUUUCUUUAAGUGGGACUGUUCUUGAGAAACUAGCCUUCAUCAAUUGAGCGCUUCAGUGAGAGUUUGGUGGAGCUUGAUUUGAGUGGAACUGUUAAAAGAGAGAGGGCAUACUCCCUUUUUCUAAAGCAGAAUCUCAGUGUAUCAUCUUUUGGCUUAUUUCCAAGAAAUGGACCUCACCCUUUGCUUCCACUGUUAGCUUCCUUGAAGCAUUUGUCUUUUUUGACGUCAUUAAAGCUGAAUGAUUGUAAUCUCUGUGAAGGAGCAAUUCCCAAUGAUAUUGGUUCUCUGUCCUCCUUGAAGUUCUUGGAACUCGGGGGACAUAAUUUUGUUACCCUUCCUGCAAGCAUUCGAUUGCUUUCUAAGCUUACAUUCUUUAACGUGGAGAAUUGCAAAAUGCUUGAACAAUUGCCAGACCUCCAAUUAAAUGGUGAAUUAUGUGUAGGAAGCAUCAAUUCAUUCAAUUGUACAUCCUUACAAGCUUUCCCAGAUCCAUCAGAUUUGUGCAGAUUCAAUACGAUUGGUAAUCUGGAUUCAAGUUAUUUGUUGUAUUCAAUCCUGAAGAGGUUGCUUGAGGUAAUCUGGAUUCAAGUUAUUUUAUAGCCUGUGCUAGAGUUUUUAUAUUCAGUACGGUUUAUAUGAUUGUGGUUGGUAAACAUAUGAAUAAUUGUGAUAUGAUGGUUCAUAUGAUGCAGGAAACCCCUCCUUCCUUUCACUAUUUCAGUCUUGUAUUUCCUGGAAGUUAUAUUUUUGAGUGGUUCAGUAAUCAAAGUGUGGGAGACUCGGUAACUGAGAAGAUACCUUAUUCAUGUAAUAGCAGCAAGUGGAUUGGGAUCGCUGUAUGUGCGUUAUUUGCAGCUCAAGACAAUCCAUCUGCCGUUCCUGAAGAGCGUGAUUUAAAUCCUGAUGAAAAUUCAGUUACGUCUACAUUGAGGUUCUACAGUUUUCGUUUCCAAGUUAAACCAAUUGGUUCAGUCUACAGUUUUCAUUACCCUGUUAAACAGCAAGUGGAUUCGGAUCACCUUAUUUUCUCUGUUUUCUCCACUCAUUACUUGCAACUUGAGAAUUUUCUGGAGGACACUUUGGUUAAGUGUGUUUUCGAAACCCAUCGACCUGUACGAAACAACAGAUGCUUGAAGGUAAAGAAAUGUGGGGCCCGUGCACUGUAUGAGCACGACAUGGAAGAGCUGAUCGCUAAAAUGAACCAAUCUAAGAGUAAAUCAGUAUAUGAACAAGGUAGUGCCAACGUUGAGGAACAACGCAGUUGUGGCUAUGACGAUGAAUAUUACUCUGCGGAAGAAUGAAAGGCUGCCUUGUGCUUCGUGUAACCAUCCAGUGUCUCAAUGCAAAAAUUAAAGGGUAACACUGCUAUUCUAUGCAAGUAACAAUCUCAUAUUAUGACUCCCAGUUGCAACCGGAUCUAUCUUAUUAUGUUCUUUAACAUGUUUCUCUGUCUCUCAUGUGCUUGUCUCAUCAUUUGCUCUGCCAUCUUGAUCAAUAACAGAAGUGAGAUACUAUCUAGUGUAUAUAUCAUAGUAGUAGAGAUCAAAUAAUUCAUUAUUUACCAAGUCAUGAAGACCACAGUUUAAGAGUAAAAAGGUUAGUUGUCCAUGUCCACGAUGAGAUACAGUUCCCUUUUUUCUUUUUCUGUUCUUCUCUAGUAAUUAAUAUAUAUAAUUAUGCAGUGCGUAACUCGAGUAUCUAAAUGUACAUGGGACGACAUAUAUAGAUGACAGUUCUGCGGUGGCCAGUAAUGGGGAAACUCUUCAUGUCACUCCAACAAGAAAAAGGUGGUUACUGAAAGUAUUGAUCGCCUUCCUAUGGAAGCUACUUUGAAGAUCUGCAGUUGUAUCUUAGUUUGGACGGUGUCGGUUUGAAUCUGUCGAAGGUAUUUGGUUGUGCGGCUUUUGAUAUAAUUGGCUCUCACUAAAACGACUUAGGUGACUGUGCAGUGCACAUCUUUAAGUCUUGACUUUUGCCACAAGCAAGCAUUGGGAGGUACACACUUUGCUUCUUCUAAAUCAACUCCAAACAGGGAAGGAAAGUGGGAUCUUGAUGCACGGCAGGUUUCCAUGGCCGGUAGUGGGAAAACUCUUGAUGUUCCUACAACAAGAGAAAGGUAACUGCAAGAUUAUGUUGCUUGGUUUGGAUGGGUUUUGAUUUCUAUCUACCAAGGUACAAUUUGUCUAGCUCUAAUUGGCUCGGACUAAUAUGCAUCAGGUGAUAUCCUCCAUCCUUGCAAGUUCUUCCUCCACCCAUUUUUCAAGGUUAAAUCUCCGAAGCUAAACAUGUCCGAUUCUUUACUGGCUUUCCCUUGGUUUGCAUACUCUUGUGCGACGUAGCCUAAAUUGCCUAGCACAGCCAUUUUAUCAGUCUUCAACAUCGUCGCCAAGCCUAGUGUUGAAAUCAUUUUCCAACACUACGUUAGCUUGAUGUACCUGUUAAGCGCACACAGUCCUGCAUAUUUGUAUAGGUACUGAAAAGCCGAGGCCAAGCCUGAAGCGAUUGUGAACCAACAUCCCACUGAGAGGAUUCCUUCCGCCAAAUGGAUGUGUGUCAAGGCAUGUAUUGGUAAAGAAUCAAGCAUUCGCCUUGGCCAUGACACGAUCUGAUGAAUUGCACCACAUUUCUUAUUUCUAUGUAUUAAGCGUCUAAUGAUUUAAUUUUUUUUUUUUUUUCUAAAGUAGAUAUGAUCACAUUGUGCAUAAGUCCUCUCCACAGCAACAUCGCAACCUAACUUUUUACGAAUCCUCGGUAAACCUGUCCAGACCCUCCUCGGCCUAGCAUUGCAUCACUUGCGUAGUCAUGGGUGGCUGCAGCUAGUUCUUCCAAAAAGAAAAGAAAAAAAAACUAAAAAAACUUUUUGAUGGAAUGAUAUGUGCUUUUCGCUAUACCAGAAUCUGAUCUCUACCGAUUCAAAUUAAUUGACAAAUAUGCUCAUAUUCUAAACUGCUAAAGAAUGUUUGAAUAUAUCAUCUUUAAGACACAUCUCAGUCUAUUCUCUGUAGUCAUGAUUCAUGAUAGAAAAACGUUGUAACAAAAGCAUCAUGUACGAGUUAGGUUUUAGGCUUAAAAACCCAUUUAAAAAAAAUGAAAAUACCUACAGCUCUGCCACCUAUUACUCCAUUACUGACAGACUUGGGUGACGUUUGAGUCAAAGUCUUCUUCUUUUUUUUUUUUUGGUCUGAGAGUCAAAGUCUUCUUGUUAUGAUCUUCCUAGCAGAGAGACCAGGAGAACGACCUUGAAGCGCACCGUUUCAAGUAAUUGUCGAAGUGGAUCUUUCCACAUGUGAGACGCACGUGCUCACUAAUCAGUUGUUAAUUAAUAUGUAUUAGGGUUUUGCCCCAAACUAGUUGGAUGUUUGCCAAGUGGCAAGAUCUAGAAGGCUCAUUCUGGUUAUAAAUGGUCUUUGUAAGAGAACAGCCGCUAUCAAUGAAAAAGACUUGCUUUGAUUUCCUUUUGCAGUUCUGUUAUUAGUUCCAGAUCCCUGUUACUUCUCUUUCCGUCACCUUUACUCUCCUCUCCAUUAUUUCCACUUCUUAUUGAACCCCUCUUGAUCUUUACUGAUCACCAAUCAAUCAGUUUCCGAUGGCGUUGAGUACCCAAGUCAGAGCUUCCACCGGUUCAGCUUUCUCAUGGAAAUACGACGUGUUUUUGAGCUUCCGAGGCGAAGACACCCGGAAGGGCUUCACUGAUUACUUAUACGACAAGUUGAAGUGGCGAGGAAUCAGGACUUUCAGGGACGACCCUGAACUUGAAAGAGGCACAACCAUCUCUCCGGAGCUCAUCUCAGCAAUCGAGCAGUCCAGGUUUGCGAUCGUUGUUCUUUCUCCAAACUAUGCUUCUUCCACGUGGUGUUUGCUUGAACUGUGUAUUAUUUUGGAUUGCAUGGAAAAGAGAGGGACCAUUCUGCCGGUCUUUUAUGAGGUCAACCCGUCUGAUGUGAGACACCAAAGGGACAGCUUUGCUGAAGCGUUUGAUGAACAUGAAGAGAAGUUUGGAGAAGAUAGUAAGGAAGUGGAAGGGUGGAGAGAUGCUUUAACACAAGUGGCGAACCUCGCUGGCUGGAAUUCAAAGGAUUACAGGUAAGUCUCAAUUGUUGAUUCAGAGAUCAAAUGACACGUAAAUUGAAGUACACCAAUAUUUAGAAGUUAUAUAAUGUUGGUGAGUUAGUUUAGGAAGUGCUUACACUGCCCUGCAUCUUUGUAUAACACCACUUUAAUGUUGCGGUUCAGUUCUAUCAUACGGGUAGAUUAUAUAUUUUGUAUGAUCACAUAUUCAACAUGAGAAUUCUUAUAUUCUUCUUGUAGGUAUGGAACAGAGCUUAUCAAAGAGAUUGUGCAAGCACUGUGGAGCAAAGUGCAUCCUAGUGCCACACUAUUUGGUUCCUCAGAGAUGUUAGUUGGAAUGGAUACUAAGCUGGAGGAAUUAGAUGUUCUUUUAGAUAAAGAAGCAAAUGAUGUUCGCUUUAUAGGGCUAUGGGGAAUGGGUGGGCUGGGUAAGACAACUCUUGCUAGACAAGUUUAUGAGAAGAUCUCUGAUCAAUUUGAAGUUUCCAUCUUUGUUUCUAAUGUCAGAGAGGUUUCUGCAACCCAUGGUCUAGUUCAUAUACAUAAGCAGAUUCUGUCCCAAAUCUUGAAGCAAGAAAAUGAACAAGUAUGGGAUGUUUAUAGUGCAAUGAAUAUGACUAAGAGAUGUUUAUGCAAUAAAGCGGUUCUUCUAGUUCUUGACGAUGUGGAUCAAGUAGAGCAACUGGAAACCUUGGUGGGAGAAAAAGACUGGUUUGGUAUGAGGAGUAGAAUCAUCAUUACAACUAGAAAUCAACGUAUACUAGUCACACAUGGUAUAGAUGAACCAUAUGAGUUGAAGGGAUUAAACAAUGAUGAAGCUCUCAAGCUCUUU